UGGGGAAUUUUGGACAAUGGGCGCAAGCCUGAUCCAGCAAUGCCGCGUGCAGGAUGAAGGCCUUCGGGUUGUAAACUGCUUUUGUACGGAACGAAAAAGCUCUCUCUAAUACAGGGGGUGAAUGACGGUACCGUAAGAAUAAGCACCGGCUAACUACGUGCCAGCAGCCGCGGUAAUACGUAGGGUGCGAGCGUUAAUCGGAAUUACUGGGCGUAAAGCGUGCGCAAGCGGUCUUGCAAGACAGUGGUGAAAUCCCCGGGCUCAACCUGGGAACUGCCAUUGUGACUGCAAGGCUGGAGUACGGCAGAGGGGGAUGGAAUUCCGCGUGUAGCAGUGAAAUGCGUAGAUAUGCGGAGGAACACCGAUGGCGAAGGCAGUCCCCUGGGCCUGUACUGACGCUCAUGCACGAAAGCGUGGGGAGCAAACA
rnacentral:rRNA from 1 species